rnacentral:tRNA from 1 species
GCGCCUGUAGCUCAGCUGGAUAGAGCAGCGGACUUCUAAUCCGCAGGCCCGGGGUUCGAAUCCCUGCAGGCGCGCCA